GAUGGGGGCUGGGAAGCAGAGUCUGUGUGGGAGGGGCUGCAAGUGAGGGGGAAUGCUCUGUCAGAGGUCCCCAGUGUUACAGCGGAUCCUGGCCCCAUUUAGCUUUAACAGGGCCCUGUCUGAUGUGUCCCACACUACAGGGUCGAAUCCCAUUGUGGCUGGGCAGGGACGAUCAGCUUACAAACCAGGCGCUGACAGAUAUGCUGAGAAGCCAAGAGUUCCUGGACAGAGGCAACUCUAAGCCAGAUGGAGACGUCCCAGGUGUGGGAGCAAUUUCAGGACUGGGUCUGUCCUUGCCUAACCUGGGGGUGCAUUGGCUGCUAACAUGAUCUGAGGGCUCAGAUAACUUGUUAAAUACCCAGAGAAUGACCCCUCCUUGGGGUCAGCCUCACCCCACACCAGCUGAGAGGGCACCAGCGAGGCUGGGUGCAGUCCAGCUUGCUGUUAAGGGGACCUACAGUGGAGAAACUUCUGGGUCUGGACCUCCUUGGGGCGGAAGGGGGGCUGGGAGAGGGGCUUGUGUGGCUGUGUUGGGGGUUCUGCUUCUUUUUCCCCAGCAUCCCCUCCCCUGCAGAUCCUCCUCCCUCUUUUCCUGCAGGGUUUGUUCCCAUCUGUAAUGACAAAGGAGGCGAAGCUGCCACAAGUAGCCCCGGGUGGUUUGGCCGAAUCCCCCCGAGCAUGGGAGCAGUGACAGGGGAGAAGCCUUUGCAAAGUGGAGCCAGCAGAACACAGGAACCAACCUGCACUGCUAGUGUGACUGGCGCGGUGGGGAGCUGGGCCUCUCAGCAGCACCCGGCUCUGGAGCUGCAGUUUGCCAUGGCCAAGGCCAGGAGGCAGUGUCUGCGGGAGCAGCACCAGCGGCUCAUCCAGCAGGAACUGCUGAAGCUGGAGGAGGAGCUAGCAGGCAACCAGGAGGUGAGUGGGGAAUAGGGUUACCAUAUUUCCACAAUCAAAAAAGAGGACACGGGGGGGGGGAGGAGGU
rnacentral:lncRNA from 1 species